rnacentral:rRNA from 1 species
UACGUAGGGUGCGAGCGUUGUCCGGAUUUAUUGGGCGUAAAGAGCUCGUAGGCGGCUCGUCGCGUCGACCGUGAAAACCCACAGCUUAACUGUGGGCUUGCGGUUGAUACGGGCGAGCUAGAGUUCGGUAGGGGAGACUGGAAUUCCUGGUGUAGCGGUGAAAUGCGCAGAUAUUGGGAGGAACACCAGUGGCGAAGGCGGCUCACUGGACCGGUUCUGACGCUGAUGCGCGAAAGCGUGGGGAGCAAACGGG